AGUGAACGCUGGCGGUAGGCCUAACACAUGCAAGUCGAACGGCAGCACAGUAAGAGCUUGCUCUUACGGGUGGCGAGUGGCGGACGGGUGAGGAAUACAUCGGAAUCUACUUUUUCGUGGGGGAUAACGUAGGGAAACUUACGCUAAUACCGCAUACGACCUACGGGUGAAAGCAGGGGAUCUUCGGACCUUGCGCGAUUGAAUGAGCAGAUGUCGGAUUAGCUAGUUGGCGGGGUAAAGGCCCACCAAGGCGACGAUCAGUAGCUGGUCUGAGAGGAUGGUCAGCCACACUGGAACCGGGGCACGGUCCCAAAUCCUACGGGAGGGCACAGUUGGGAAUUUUUGGCCAUGGGGGGAAACCUGGACCAAGCCAACCGGGUGGGUUGAAGAAGGCUUCGGGUUGUUAAGGCCUUUUGGUGGGGAAAAAAAACCACCAGUUUAUUACCCGCUGUUCUGACGGUACCCAAAGAAUAAGCACCGGCUAACUUCGUG
rnacentral:rRNA from 1 species